AGAUUAGUGUGGUUUUGGUGAUUUGAUUGACCUUUAGUGUUUGAUUCUUGUUUUUUUUUUUGCUUAUAUCACAUUGUAUCCUAAUUAAUUUUGCUUUUGAUUGAUGUCAGGUUAAUAUCAUUGAUAUGACUGGUGUAAUCUUAGCCCUAUGCAGUGUUGGUGGUGUGCAGAGUCAGCCUAUUACAGUCGACAUGCAAAUGAGGAGAUUAAAAGUUGCAAGAAUCUACAGCAAAUGGAGUUUACUCCAGGUGUGCAUCCCAACACCAUUUUGAGCAGAAUCAAAAAGACAACGCAAACAACAAUGAUGCACAGAAGCAGCUGGGAAGAAAAGAAAUCGUAAUAGCUCAGAAAAAUGUAGGUAAAAACAUUUUUCUAGCCUAAACAGGUGCUUUAUGUAUUUCGCUAACGAUCUGGAAUGUUACCAAUAAUAUUUUUAUAUGUUAGUGUAAUCUCAAUAAGAAUCACAAUUGGUUAAGCCUUUAGAGGAUCAUAUGUACAAGAAGAAAAGAAAAACAAUGCAAAAAUUCUAUGUA